UGCAGACCAGAGCUGACCAGUGAGGCUGCUGGAAGGCUGGAUGGGACUGCAGAAGAUGGAGGACUUGGCUGAGGUUAGACACCUGCCCGGAGGAACGGAGGAACGGGCACGGGCCAGGAGCGGAACAGACGCCUCCCCGAGGCUCACACAAAUGUCAGAUCUGGUGCUCCCCUUCACUGUGAGGAGCCGCUCCAGGAGGUGUGUGAGCGGCCCCUUGCAGGAAGUGGCCAGGAGGCGGCUGGAGAAUGAGGACCAGGAGGUGCAUGCGUGUGCUGUGUAAGAAUUCAGAAACUUGGAGGCGGUAGAUGCAAAUUGGCACCGUGGAGUUUCUUCUGAUGUAAGUCACUGUUGGCACAUCCGAGGGUUGGGUUUGGCUGAGUGUGCCGGCCUGCUGGGCUGUGGCGUGAGCUGGAAGCUUCGGGACGACACCGACACCGAGGCCCUGAGCGCGCCAGACCUCAGGUCCAGUCAGGGCGCCACACCCUCCUCACUGCUUCCCCUGCCAGGGCCCCACACUCCUUGGUCACCGCACAGAGAUGGUGCCACUUUCUAAGAAACCUGAGGUGCCGUUUGAUUAGAAACUGCAACGCUGAGUUGUUUAUCUCCAGGAAAGCAAGUGAAUACUGCCAAUCAAAUAUGAUGCCAGGCUUCUUUACCUUUUAUUUCCAUAAUGGUUAAAUGUGGUAAAAGUGCAUCUAAGAAUGGAUUAAGUACUGUAAUUAUGUUCUUUUCACAGGGAUAUGGUGAGAAUUGAAUGAGGCAUUGCUCACAAAGCUCUUGGCGAAGCGCCUGCCAGUUAGUCAAUUCCCUGUGAAUCAGGUUUUACCUAGAACCCCUCCCCUGACUCCCAGGAUCUACAUCCUGCAGGAAUCCAGGGCCACCUGGGGCCUGGCCUGAGAAAGCCUCUGGCUCGGCUCUGCUGACCUCAGGGGCUCUGCCUCCGGGUCCUCUGCUCUCUUCUUCCCCCAAGCUUCUCCCAGAACAGGGCUCCGGGAUUGACCUCGGAUGGCCAAACCUGGCCCGCGGGGAGAGGGACAUCCUGCCCACCACGUGUUAGUCAACCCAGAGGCUUGGACAGCAGUGGAGAAAGUUUUUAGGGAAAAACCAAGUGUGCGCAGUGAUUUCGGCCAGCUUUGUCAGUAUUUCAAAAAGGGGAGGGGCUUGCUGCCCGCACAUGUGGAUUGGCACAGCCUUUCUGGGGCCGUUUGCCUUCCUGCAUUUUAGGUUUGAAAAUGUGAAUAUCCUUGCAUUUCUAACCGCACUUCUCAGAACUACUUGUGUAAAUAGUCAAAGAUGUGUACAAAGACUUAGCAACAGGAUGUUUAUUACAGUACGGUUGAGGAUAUUAAAAAAAAUUAAAACAAAUGGUCCCCAUUAAAUCAAAUGUCU